GCUAGUAAUGGCAGGUCAGCAUACUGCCGUGAAUACGUUCCCGGGCCUUGUACACACCGCCCGUCACACCAUGAGAGUUGGGAAUACCCGAAGCCUGUGAGCUAACGUUAAGAGGCAGCAGUCGAAGGUAGAAUCAAUGAUUGGGUGAAGUCGUAACAAGGUAUC
rnacentral:rRNA from 1 species